AAAUCCGCUGAUUUCAAAAAUCGUGAGGGUUCAAGUCCCUCUAUCCCCA
rnacentral:tRNA from 1 species